rnacentral:snoRNA from 1 species
CUUCCUGUGAGUCAGUGGGCACUCAAGCUGGGAGACCAGAAGAAACCCUUCUCCUUCCCCAGCAAGCAACUGCCUGGUUCAGAGGAUCACAGGCUGAGCUGAUAGC